CAAUAUUUAACUAACCGUGUAGGUAUAAUAAGUAUAUGACAAAUGUAUAAAUAAAUAAAAAUUAUCUUAUUUAACUUUAGAGUACCAACACUACAAACCUAGCUAUAAUGACAACGCGAAUACAAUAAUGUAAUCCAUACCUACGUUUUAUAUUGGUUUAAACAUUUCUACAUAAUUUAACAUUAAACAAUUAAGUACAGAUACCUAAUACGAGUCAAAUUAAUAUUGCA